rnacentral:misc_RNA from 1 species
CCCCAGAAGUUUAUAAUUUUUCCUUAACAUUGUCUUGCAGAUGUUUCCAAUGAACCUAUAUAUUUUACACUUGGAACAAACAGGAAAAGGUUCAUGAAAUCUACAAUACGUAAUAACUUCUUGAUCACUGUCUCGGGGUUGUUCCCUUUGAGAAGAAACUCAUGUUUCCUUGUGACAUCGGAAAUCUAGAAGUGACAUGAGAGGCCUGCCACCUUAUUGGCUUUG